rnacentral:tRNA from 1 species
AGUUAAAUACUUUAAGAAAGUCUUAUGUUUUGAAAGCAUAAAAAAGAGGUUUAAUUCCUCUAUUAACUU